rnacentral:piRNA from 1 species
UCAAUUCGGGUAAACCUCGACGGGACAC